rnacentral:lncRNA from 1 species
AACUCCAACAUCUUCGUGAGCUAGAUCUUUCACAUUGCAAUCUCCGAGGAGAGAUUCCUUCUUCAGUAGGAAAUCUUUCUCAUCUCACAUCUCUAGAUCUUUCUCGUAACCAAUUAGUAGGUGAAGUUCCGACUUCAAUCGGUAACCUAAACCAACUAGAAUCCGUUAAGCUUCACAAAAAUCAUCUUGGAGGUAAUAUUCCUACAUCUUUUUCCAACUUAACCAAGCUUUCUACUAUAUACCCAGCGAGAAUCAAUUCACUGGUGGUGAUAUAGUAUUAGCCAAUUUAACCAGCUUGACCUCUAUAGACCUCUCUUCCAAUCACUUUCACUCCUCGAUUUCCUCUUACCUAAGUGAAAUCCACAACUUGGAGCGAUUCUCAGCGUAUGACAACUCAUUUUCCCUCAUCAUUGCUAAAGAUUUCUUCCUUAGCUCAGAUUGAUUUAAGCAGCGGAAACCAAUUCGAGGGACCUAUUGAUUUUGGGAAUACAUCUUCAUCAUCCAAACUUGAAGUGUUAUAUCUUAGGCAUAACAAUUUCCGAGGACAAGUCCCUAGUUCUUUAACUAAACUAGUCAACCUCUAUGAUCUUGAUCUUUCUUACAACAAGUUGGAAGGUCAAGUACCUCACUGUAUAUGGACAUCUUCUUCUUCUAAGUUGGAGUAUGUAAAGCUUUCUCAUAAUUCUUUCAACAGUUUUGGCAAAUCAUUGCAAGUUAUCGAUGGAGGGACGUUAACACAAUUGGAUCUUGCUUCAAAUUCACUCCAAGGACCAAUUCCUCAAUGGAUCUGCAAGUUAAGAGCUUUAGAGAAGUUAGAUUUGUCAAACAACCAUUUCACUGGUUCCAUCCCUCAAUGUUUCAAGAAUUUCACUUCUCUUGAAGAUCUUUUCCUGCGAAACAACAGUCUAAGUGGAUUUCUACCAGAUAUAUUCACCAACUACACAUUGUUGAAAUCAUUUGAUGUCAGCCGCAAUAACUUGGUGGGUAAGCUUCCAAAAUCUUUGAUCAGUUGCGAGAAUAUGGAAUUUCUCAACGUGAAAGGAAACAAGAUCAAGGACACGUUUCCAUUUUGGUUGGGAUCUCUACAAAACUUCAAGAUUCUUCUGCUCCGAUCAAAUGCAUUUUAUGGUCCAAUCUACAACUCUUCUGCUUAUUUAGGGUUUGGAAGAAUAAGGAUCAUUGACAUAUCCGACAACUACUUCGUCGGAUCAUUGCCACAAGACUAUUUUGCCAAUUGGACGACGACUGAAAUGUCAAAAGUCAAAUAUAUAUCUUACGGAGCCCUAGAGGGUCCAUACAGUGCUCCCCAAGAUUCCAUGGAUUUGGUGUAUAAAGGAGUAGACAUGAAUUUUGAUCUGAUCUUUAACGGCUUAAAGAUUAUUGAUUUCUCUGGGAACCGAUUCUCGGGAGAUAUCCCUGGAUCCAUUGGUGUAUUAAGCGAUUUUCGUCAUCUUAACUUGUCAGGCAAUGCAUUCACAGGCAAUAUCCCACCAUCUUUGGCGAAUAUUACAAAUCUCGAGUCAUUAGACCUAUCACGAAAUAACUUGUCAGGUAAGAUUCCUCAAGGUCUCGGGAAGCUCUCGUUUCUUUCCAACAUCAACUUCUCCUACAAUCAUCUUGAAGGAUUGGUGCCACGGAGCACACAGUUCCAAAGGCAAAAUUGUUCUUCAUUUGUUGGUAAUCCUGGGCUAUACGGCCUCGAUGAUAUUUGUGGAGAAAUCCAUCAUGUUUCCGUUCCUACAUCUCAGCAACCCGAAGAAUCUUUGUCGGAGCAGGAAGAGCCACUGCUGAACUGGAUAGCAGCCGCGAUAGCAUUUGGACCUGGUGUGUUUUGUGGAUUAGUUAUCGGAUGUAUCUUCACUUCAUACAAACACAAGUGGUUUAUUAUAUCUCGUUAAGCCCAUCUAUCUGGCGGGUUCGUCAAGUUUGUACUCCGGUAACCUAGUUCGCUAGGUGUUCCUUCCUUGUAAUUUUCACCGUAUAAACAUUGUCACUGUAAUAUUCUCACCGUUUUGUGUUAUAUGGUCCAUGUUGGUUGCCUAUGUUUCUCAGUUAUUAUUAAAUUAAGCUUUAACAAAGUGUCUUGAAAAAUAUGUUUAAUAGCCAUAUAUUUAUCUCUAGUUUGAGUCUAAAGAAUCUUUAUUUUAGUUGUUUUAACACAUACAUACAUAUAUAUAUAUAUAUAUAUAUUAAUAAAAUCUAGUAUUAUGUGGGAAUUAGGAGGAACAAAACAGUUAAGAGUCUCUGUUCUCAAAAUUUUCCAGAAACAUAGGAGAUAAUCCAUAAAGUCCCCCGGCUAAUAUAGAAAAAAGGUAUAUAUGAUUAUUAUUUGUGAACAUUGUGUAGAAAAGAGUCAAAUCUUUGUGGAGAAAUUUUGUCGGCCACAAAGUUAUUUUUCUCAGGAGACUUGCUAAGAAAGAAAGAUAAACUUCGAAGAGUGGCUUUGCUCUGUCUUCAUCUCAUGACUUAUUUAAAUGAUAAACCCAUUUCUCAGGGCAUUUACUUGGACGCACAAGUUUUUGUUUUUUUUGGUUUUAAUGUGAAGAUUUCAUUCAAUAACAAGAUUACAAGCUGAUCUACCGAUUACAAAAGCUAACCCAUUAUCAAAGGAACAAGAGCGAGACAGACUAAGAGAAAAAUUACAAAGGAAAUGAAAGACGACUAAAAUAAAUUUGAAGAAGAGAAGGAGAGUUCAACGCAGACCCUGGAAAAGACAGCAGGCGAUUCCGCAUUGUAAGAUCAAUGGCGAGGCGAGUAACAGAGGCGGUGGAUUGGACGCACAAGUUUGUGUCUUAUUUUUUAUAUACUUGGUCAACUUCUUGUUACCGUUUUCUGUAUUUCAUUCUUCACGGUUAAAUAGGGUGGAAUCAUUUUGACAUUUUCCAAGAACCUAUUGAUUUUGGGGAAUACAUCAUCUUCGUUUGGCCAUCUUUGAUUUGUCCGAUAACCAUUUUACUGGUUCCAUUCCUCAAUGUUUAAAGCGUUUUAUGUUCGAAGAGUUAAAUCUGAAAAACAACAAUUUAAGUGGAUUCCUACCAGAUUUAUUCAUCAACGGUUGUUCGCUACUAUCACUUGACGUUAGCGGCAAUAAUUUGGCGGGUAAAAUUCCAAAAUCUUUGAUCAAUUGCGAGUAUAUGGAAUUUCUGAAUGUGGCAGGAAACAAGAUCAAGGACACGUUUCCGUUUUGGUUACGCUCUCUGCAAACCUUACAAGUAAUUGGGCUCCGAUCAAAUGCAUUCUAUGGUCCAAUCUACAACCCCUCUACCUAUUUAGGGUUUCCAAGCUUGAGGAUCAUAGACAUAUCCAACAACAACUUCGAUGGAUCAUUACCACAAGACUAUUUUGCCAAUUGGACUGCAACGUCAACGGUGUUUCAGAAUAGUUUUGACAUGAACUAUAUGAAAUCUGAUUUCUCUGCGUACCGUUCGAUGGAUUUGGCGUACAAAGGAGUAGAAACAGAUUUUGUUAGGAUCUUUCGAGGCUUCAAAGCCAUUGAUUUUUCUGGAAACCGAUUCUCAGGGAAUAUUCCUGGAUCCAUUGGUCUAUUGAGUGAAUUACGUCUUCUCAACUUGUCAGACAACGCAUUCACAGGCACCAUUCCACCAUCCUUGGCAAAAUAUCACAAACCUUGAGAUAUUAGGACUAUCGCAAAAUAACUUGUCCGGUGAAAUUCCUAGAGGUCUUGGGGAACUCACGUUUCUGUCCAACAUCAACUUAUCCUACAAUCAUCUUGAAGGAUUCGUGCCACGAAGCACACAGUUUGGAAGUCAAAAUUGCUCUUCAUUCGUUGGUAAUCCUAGACUACAUGGCUUCCAGGAACCUUGUGAAGAAAGCCAUCAUGUUCCCGUUCCUACUACAUCUCAUCAACCCGAGGAAUCUUCAUCGGAGCAGGAAGACCCCAUGCUGAACUGGAUAGCAGCCGCGAUAUCUUUUGGACCUGGUGUGUUUUGUGGAUUAGUGAUCGGAUAUAUCUUCACUUCAUACAAACAUGAGUGGUUUAUUUUUUCUCGUUAAGCCCAUCUCUUUCGAGGUUUCGUCAAGUUUGUACUCCGUUCGUCAGGAGUUUAUUAUAUCCUUGUAAUUUUCCAUUUUCGUGGUUGUAUUAUAAACAAUGUCAAUGUUCUAAGCUGUUUGUGCAAUAUGGUCCCUGUCGGUUUCCUAUGUAUCAUUGUAAUAAAUCUCUUUAUUAACAAAGUGUCUUGAAAAUCAUGUUUUAUUCAAUAACUCAUAGCCAUCCAUUUAUCUCUAAUUUGAGUCUAGAAUCUUUAUCUUAGUUGAUUCAAUGCAUAUAUUUUACAUCAGAUAUAAUAUUCUGUAGAAAUUACGAGGAACAAAACAGAUGUAGUGUCUCUGUCACUCAUAUCUUUCUAGAAACAGAGAAGAUAAAUCCAAAAACUAUACACUUAUUAUUCCAUGGAAACUUUGUGGAAAAAUCUUAUUGGCCACAAUGUUAUUGUUCAUAGAAGACUUAGGCCAUGUUCUUUUAAGAGACGCUGCGACAUGCGACAGCGACGGCAAAUAAACGUGGAUGGAGUGAUAAUUGUUAAAACGAGUCGCCGGAUCUGUUGAAAUGAGCUGCGGCAACGGUCGCUAGAAAUUCUGGCGACUCCCCUCUAUCUCCAGCGAUAGCUUUCUCUUUCUCUAGCGACUGCUCCGUCAUUGUCGUUUUGCAUGUGUGUCGUCGUUUUCUUUGUUAAUCACCUCCGGCACGGUCGUUUUGAGCUGUCGCAGAGAUAGUCGCUGCGAAUCUUCUCCGAACAGGCCCUUACUAAGAAAGAAGAAAUUAAAAUCUUGACGAGUGGCUUUGCUCAUGAUGACCCAUUUCUCACGGCAUUGCAAGUUUUUGUGUCUUUUAUUCUUUCUAUCAUUUACUUUGUUAACUUUUUGUUUUCGUUUUCUCGUCUUUCUUUUUGUCUUCGGUUAUGCAACCGUGAUUCCUUCAUUGGUCGCGGUUGAAUAGUGUAGAAUCAUGUUCCAAGGACCUAUUAAUUUUGCAGAAUACAUCUUCUUUGUCUAAGCGAACCGAAUUAAGCAAAAACGGUUAAUGACUAGAUCAACGAUGAGAAAGUUCAAUGAUUGAAAAUGGCACCUCGUCUGCUCAAUCUAUAGAGAAAGAAGUCCAGUUUUCUUGUUCAAGGACUUGUGUGAACUUAGGCGUUUGUUUUGCAUUUUUUUUUGGGUUCUUUGUUAAAUGGGUUUCUUUGUUAAGAACAUGUACAGUGGAGAGUUUUCACAUAGAUUCUCAAUAAUAAAAUAUAAGAAAAUAAUAAAAAGUGGGAGAGAGAAACCAGAAUCGAUUCGCAUUUGACAACAUUUGAAAACCCUUUGAGAGACUAUCAUUACACAUGUCAGCAUAUAAUUGGUUUUGAAUUUUUUUUUGUUAUUUAAAAUUAAAAUAAAUAACUAAAUUAAAUGAUAUGUAUUAGAAUAAUAUAUUUGAGAGACAAAGUCUCUAUGCACUACACAUGCUCUUAAUUGUGUAAGUAGUCACUUUUUCAAACCCAAUUGUAAAUAAGAAAUUUUCACAAAAGGGACAUAAAUGAUUUUUUGUCUUACCAAUUGACAAAGUGGAGAAAGGUUUUCACCGUUUGACAAUUUGCCAUAUUUCUGACGAAACUGCCCUCAACUAGAAGUGUAACUUGGUUCGUUUUUUUUUUUUUUUUUUUCACAAGUGUAUCGUUUUUUUUUCAAUUGGUUUGGUUUCUGAAAAUUAGUUUUAUUUAAUUUUAAAAAAUUUUGAAUUAAAAACAACAUUGGAAAACGAAGAACAUAGUCGACGAAAGUGAAGAGCUCGAGGAGGAAAACUCAGAGUAGAAACCGUUUCCAUUCUUCAAUCUAAUCUCUCAUUAUUAUUCAUCUACUUGGAAACGACCAAAACCCCAAAAAAUUCCGGCGAAUUCCGUUUCGAUUCCUCUUUAACUCUCUCAUUAUCUUCCGUUCUUGCCGAGACGAGCAAAAGCAAACAAAUUUCAUAUUUCUGGCGACGAACAAAAUACAACAAAGUUCUGGAAACUCAAAAACUUUAGCUUUUCAAAUUUAAAAUAUGCUAAAUUUACAAGAUUUAUAUGUAAAGAGAAUUCAAAAGGUAAAAAAAAACAAGAUUCUGAGAUAACUGCUAAUGACGGCCGCAAAAUUAGGGUUGCAGAGGAGGAUACUCAGGUUGAAGAUGACUGGAAAAUUACAUUUAUACCCUUCAUCGAAUUUCUUCUGUGUACGUAUAUGCAAUUUACGGUGUACGUACACAAAAAUAUUUAGUGGAACUUAUGUAUAUGGUUCGAUAUUAAAAUGGUUGUAAUAAAUAUCAAACCACCCUCUACAAAAAAAACUAACAAUUAAUGAUUUGACUCCAAAUUUGAGCUAUUUUGUUACUUAUUCAUAUAUAUCUCAAUAAAAUUCAUGCAUAUAUAAUAAUUAAAUAAAAAUAUAUGGUGAAAAAAUAUUGUUCCUCAUACUUUUGAAAAAGUUAUGUAUGUAUACGUGUAAUAAUGUACGUACAUCUUUAUUGGUGUGUUAAAUUUGUUAAGAUAAAUUUAUUGAUACAAUAAUAAACCAAUAUUGGCGAUGGUGGGGGUGUAUUCUACGACGCUCCUACUGGAGAUGAAGCCAUUGUUAUUUGAUUUUUUUUUUCUAAAUACACUCCCAACAAACAAUGUCUCUCUUGCCAUACUAAUUUAUAUUUUUGUCUCAUCAACUCGGGUAUUGACUAAAUCAUCAAAGACUAGAACAAAAUUCACACAAUUACCAUUCACUUUACAAUUACCAUGCCAAUUUGUAUGUGUACGUCAAACAUUUACCGUCAGAUGAUUUCUCGUGUACAUAUUUAGUAAUGUACGUACAUUUUUCUAAAAAUCAUGUUUUAUCUCAUGGUUAUGACUCACAAAUGGUUGAAUAUCACCAUUCUCUCCAAAAUAAUCGAUGUUUUUUCAGUUACGUACACGUUAAUUAGUAUACGUACACGUUUCUAAUAAUCAACUGAAUUUUUAUGUUAGCCCCACAGUAAGUUGAGUGUCACCAUCAUUCCCGACAUGUCAUAUCCCAUAUUUCUCAACAACAAAAUCAGUCAACUUGUUGUAAUGUAAUCUUCGCCACUACCUUUAUUACCGUUUAUAGUUGUCAUCUUCAUCGUCCCCUUCCUCAUCCUUUCUCUUUUUCGUCGUCCUCAUCCUCUUUUUUUUCAUCCUCUUUAUCACUCUGUACUUCUUCUGCUUCAUCUACUUCCUCAUUGUUUUCACCACCGACCCAUGGUCAGUUUCAUCAGAAAGGUCCUCCAUCUUUCUAUGUAAUUAUUAUUUUAAAAAUUUUAAUGAACGUUAUGUUACAUAAUAUUAUUGGUGGAUAAUAUAUAAGAUUCUAAACUAAUAUAUAAGAUUCGUAAACGUAGUGGGCUGAGUUGGGUCUUACAUAAAUCGUCGAAAUUGAAACAUCAUCAUUAUUGAGCAACUCCACCUCACCACUUAGCAAUAUAGAAAAGCCAUUAUACACUUCAGAAGAAUCAUUCAUUGUUAAUAAAUCGUACUUUGAUUCAGGUAAAACCGAUCUUCCAAUACUAAAUUUCACACCAUUACCAUUCAUUUCAAAUCUACCAUGCCCAUNNNNNNNNNNNNNNNNNNNNNNNNNNNNNNNNNNNNNNNNNNNNNNNNNNNNNNNNNNNNNNNNNNNNNNNNNNNNNNNNNNNNNNNNNNNNNNNNNNNNGACACAAACAUGUUCACUUGUCUAUGAUAGUUUAUACGGGAAAAAUGUCGUUUAAUUGCUGAACUUUCAAAAAAUGGCCGUUUAAUACGUGAACUUCUUAUGUGGCCAGUUUAAACACGAAUUUAACGUUGACCGGCCAUUUUAACUAAAUGUCUUCGUUGACUACGCCAAAACGCCACACCGUUAGCAGUCACUAACUAAGCCGAUAACGGCUGUUAGCACCCGUUAACAGGUCUCCGUUAGUCCCGAAAACGACGUCGUUUUAGCCAGAAGCAAAGUUCCUAAAUUCCCAAAAUCGAUUUUGAAAUCCCUAAUUUUUCAAAAUCCCCAAAUUAAGAACCCUAAUCCCAGAAAUCCGAAAUCUUCAAAUUGUCUUCUCUAAUGGUAUUAGUUAGGAAGAAUGGCGUCGUAGUGCGUGUUGGAUCUCCUAUACGAGGCGAAGCAGAGAGUGUUGUGGGUGCUGGAGUUGAAGCUCGAGGUGAAUCGGAGAUGGUUGUCGGAGACGGAGUUGAAGCUCCACCGGCGGAAGAGAUUUCGGAGACAGGUGGUGGAAACAAAGCUCGUGGUCGAGGCAGGCGUCGAAAACGAAGAAAAGUCAGGGUCUUAGAGGACGGUGAAGAUCCUGAAAAGGAACCAGACCCCGUCCCUGACAUUGAAGAUGAUUGUGCGGUGUAUGGUGAUGAAGACUGCGAUGUUGUUGAUGAUGCAGUAGGCGGUGAUGUUAGUGAAGGUAAUGAUGAUAAUGCUGGAGUUGAAGCUCGAAACGAAUCAGAGAUGGUUGUCGGAGACUUCGAUGUAGCAGGUGGUGAAAGUAAUGAUGAUAAUGGUGGUGUUGAUGAAACAUGUGGUGGAGAUAGCGAUGAUGAUGCAGCAGCUGUUGAAGAAGAUGUUAACUUCAACAUUGCAGAAGAUUUCCCAGAGGCUGUUAGAGGAGAUGAAGCUGGUAGUGACUCGGAUAGUGGAGAUGAUAUAUGGGACGAAGACAAGAUUCCAGAUCCUUUGUCAUCUGAUGACGAAGAUGAAGACGGAGUUAGAGAAGAGGAAGCUGGUAGAGGUGCUGAUGAUCCAGAGGUUUUGCUAGAAUUGGAGAAAACUUACAACUCUCCCGAAGACUUCAAGCUUGCACUUUUGAUGUACUCUUUAAAGACAAGGUAUGACAAUAAGCUCUUUAGGUCUGAAGCUAUGGUUGUUGCUGCGAAGUGUUGUUAUGUAGAUGAUGAAGGUGUUGCAUGUCCAUGGAGAGUUUAUUGUGCAUAUGAGAAGAGGAAGCAUAAGAUGCAAAUAAAAAGAUAUAUCAAUGAGCAUGUAUGUGUAAGGUCAGGAUAUUCAAAGAUGUCGAAGAGGUCCUCCAUUGCUUUGUUGUUUGAGGAAAGGCUGAGAGUGAAUCCAAAGCUUACCAAGUUUGAGAUGGCUGCUGAGAUUAAGAGGGAAUACAAGUUGGAAGUGACUCCAGACCAGUGUGCUAAGGCCAAGACUAAAGUGCUGAAAGCUAGACAUGCAAGCCAUGAUGCUCAUUUUGUAAGAAUUUGGGAUUAUCAAGCAGAGGUGUUAAAGCAGAAUCCAGGGACAGAGUUUGAGAUAGAAACUAUUGCAGGGGCAGCCAUUGGUCAGAAGCAGAGGUUUUAUCGUCUUUACAUUUGUUUUCAAGCUCAAAAAGAAUCAUGGAAAAAGACUUGUAGACCUGUGAUAAGAAUAGAUGGAGCAUUUCUAAAAUGGGAUAUAAAAGGUCACCUUCUAGCUGCAGUUGGCAGAGAUGGUGAUAAUAGGAUAGUUCCUAUUGCUUGGGCAAUUGUGGAGAUAGAAAACGAUGAUAACUGGGACUUCUUUUUGAGAAAACUAGCUGGAAGUUUGGGGCUGUGUCAAAUGCAAAAUCUAGCAGUCAUUUCAGAUAAACAAUCAGUGAGUUUUUAUCCAAGUUUGUAUUAUGUUCUGUGAUUUCUUUAUGUUGUUUUAUUUAAGGUUUGUAAGCUAUGUCUUAUUGCAGGGUCUUGUCAAAGCUAUCCACUCCAUACUUCCACAAGCUGAGCAUCGUCAAUGUUCAAAACACAUCAUGGAUAAUUGGAAGAGAGACAACCAUGAUAUAGAGCUUCAGCGUCUAUUUUGGAAGAUAGCACGCAGCUACACUGUAGAGGAGUUCAAUAAUCACCAGGAGGAGCUUAAGUUGUACAAUCGCCAGGCUUAUGAAUCUCUGCAACGUACUAGUCCUAUGACAUGGUCCAGAGCAUUCUUCAGAAUAGGUACCUGUUGCAAUGACAACCUAAAUAAUCUAAGUGAGUCUUUCAAUAGGACUAUUAGACAGGCCAGGAGGAAGCCAAUAUUGGAUUUGCUAGAGGACAUCAGGAGGCAAUGUAUGGUCAGAACUGCAAAGAGGUUUCUUAUUGCUGAGAAGUUGAAGACAAUGUUCACAAAGAGAGCUCAUGAAGAAAUUGAGAAGAUGAUAGCUGGGGUUGGUAAUUGCGAGAGAUAUAUGGCCAGAGAAAAUUUGCAUAAGAUAUAUGUGAAUGGUGUUGGCUACUUUGUUGAUAUGGAGUUGAAAACUUGUGGUUGCAGGAAAUGGGAGAUGGUUGGGAUCCCUUGUGUUCAUGCGGCUUGUGUGAUAAUAGGUAGAAAAGAAAAAGUUGAAGACUAUGUAAGUGAUUAUUACACUAAGGUAAGGUGGCGAGAAACUUAUAGGAAUGGUAUAAGGCCUGUCCAGGGAAUGCCAUUGUGGCCUAGAACAAAUAGGCUAGCUGUCUUGCCACCACCAUGGAGAAAAGGCAACUCAGGGAGGCCAAGUAACUAUGCUAGGAGGAAAGGAAGAAAUGAAACUGCCUCUGUCUCUUCUAAAAAUAAGAACAAGAUGUUCCGGGAAAAGAGAAUCAUGACAUGCUCUAACUGCCUGCAAGAAGGACACAACAAGCAGGGUUGCAAAAAUGCAACUGUCUUGAAUAAUCAACCAAAGAGACCAAGAGGUCGUCCCAGGAAAAAUCAGGUUAGUGACUCUUAUGCUUUUUUUGUGUUUGACAGCUCACUUAAAUCAUGUCUUCUAAUCUCAUACAUUUGACUUAGGAACCACAUGUGCUUGGAUCACAAUCUUAUCAAGGAUCACAAUCUUAUCAAGGAUCACAACCUCUACAAGGAUCACAAGAUCAGCAAGUACACGGAUCACAGGUUCAUCUUGGAUCAGAAGGACAAAGGGUAACAGGUCGUGGAGCACAAGGAUCUAUGGCAUCAAGUGGAGCAUCACAAAGAGAACAACCUGAUAGAAGACAUGGAUCUGUAGAAGCACAAGCAGCAGCACAACCCCAAGCACAAGCACAAGGACUUGGUGGAUUGGCAUCAUGGUUUGAGUGUUCCACUUAAGCUUAGUCUCAGUUUUUUUUUCUUGUUUGAACUUAAGCUUAGUCAGGGUAUAUUUUUGUUAGCUGACAUAAGCUUAGUCUCGGCUUUCUUUUUGUUGUUUGAACUUGUCUUUAUGACAUGAUCUCCACUCGGCUUUCUUUUUUGUUGUUUGAACUUGUCUUUAUGACAUGAUCUUCCACUCGGCUUUCUUUUUGUGUCUAUGACAUCAUUGUUGUAAUGUAUGAAUGGUUCUAUCAAUGGUUCUCUCUUAACUUCUCAUUUUCAGAAAUACCAUUUCAUUGCAAAAGAUACAAACUCAUACAAGACACGACACAAACAAGACACAACACAAAACUAAAACAAGAGAAGGCACAAACGAGAGAAACAUGAACCAAGACCAAAGACAAAGACACAAACCAUAUAAGACACUAAUGCACACCUAGUAACCAAGAACUAACUUAUGUCUUUUGUCUCCAACACCAAACAGUAGGAUAACAAAGACAAUGACAGCAACACAAAGGCUCACUAAACACACUUUGAUCAUCGUUUUCCAUUUUUUUAUUUCCUUUUUGCUCCACAUUCCUUCUUCCUUCAAUUCUUUGAUCAUGACCUUUAUCUCUUCAAUCUCGACAGCAACUUCCGAUUUGGCAUUCUCUAUUUGGCUGUCAAUGAUGGAGAAUUUUGGAAGAGCAUCAACAACCUCCUCGUAUACACCAUCUUCGACCCAUUUAAACAAAUGAUCAUGUGCAUCUACAAACAAAUUAUGAACAAUUUUCGAAACACAAGAAGAUAUAAAAUCAAAUCUACUUACAUCUUGUUUGGUUGGACAAUGGAAGAAAGGUCUUCCAGGGUUCUGCUUCGUCGCCGAUGUAUAGAUGACGACGUCUAACCCGCAAUGGCACUUCGAAGGAAACCCACGGAAGCCACAUCCACCGUCUUUAACACAAGAAUUCCCAGAACUGCAACUCAUUUCUUGAGCUCACUCUCGAGAAUUCGAUGAAGAUUGAGAUUGAAAGCUCAAAGAAAUUGAAAUUGGGAACGAUGAAGUGAGAGAUUGAAAGCUCAAAGAAUUGAAAUUUAGGGAUUUGAGGUUUAUGAAAGGGGAUAAAAUCGAUUUCGAUUUGGGGUUUGGUUUAAGAGUAAAACGACAUCGUUUUCGGGACUAACGGAGACCUGUUAACGGGUGCUAACAGCCGUUAUCGGCUCAGUUAGUGACUGCUAACGGUGUGGCGUUUUGGCGUAGUCAACGAAGACAUUUAGUUAAAAUGGCCGGUCAACGUUAAGUUCGUGUUUAAACUGGCCACAUGAGAAGUUCACGUAUUAAACGGCCAUUUUUUGAAAGUUCAGCAAUUAAACGACAUUUUUCCCUAGUUUAUACUUAUCUUCCUGCAAGUCCUCACACAUGGGGCAAUGACACCAUUUCUCUGUCACGGUUACUAUCUGUCUUUCACGUACACAGUACUACAUGUUUACUUACAUAAUCACCAAUAUAUGUACUUGUGUAUGUUAACUUCUCUAAUAAGCAUGUGUGUGCACCUAUGUAUGCUGGUAUAUUGUGUCAAUACUGAUAUUUGUGUCGUCCCACAAAGUCAGCAUAAUAGUUCGUACUAGGCUAAACAUUAAGAUAUUUGGUUUGGUUUCUAGUAAGAUUCUUUUGGUACAUGGUACUUUGGGUAGAAUGAUUUUAUAUCCAUUUCUGGUAUCUUAAAAUUUUGGUCUGGUUCAGUUUGGUUUCAGAUAUUUUUGGUUCAGUUCCGGGUACCCAAAAUAUUGGUAAAAGUUAAAAUUUAUUAAAUUUAAAUAAAAUUUGCGUAAUUUUUUGUUUGACAAAUAUAAGUAAAAAAUUUGGAUAUUUUUCUGUCUUAAAUAAUUGACACCUAUGUGUUUAUAAUUGUAAUCUGGGUAAUUGUGAUAUAAAUGUCUAAAUAUAAUUCAUAUGUUUGGUAUAUAACUAUAUUUCGGAUACCCAUUCGGUUCUCAGUUUGGUUCGGAUUAGGUUUUGGUUCUUCAACUAUGGUUAUGGUUAUUCAGGUAUAAAAGUUUAAUUUCAUUCAGAUAUUUUGUCAGUUUCGGGUUCAGUUCAUAUUUUUCGAAUAGGUUCGGUUUGAUUCUUUAAUUUUAGGUAUCUUUUUUAGGUGUAGUUCGUACAUGGUUUGAAUAUUUUGUUUUUAUGUUCAAAAAAUAUUUUAAACAUAAAUAUACAAAUUAUUUAGAUGUUUAUAUACAUAUACGCACACAAAUUAUUACUGUGUACGUACACAUGAGUACAUGAUAUUGUUAGUUUUAAAUUAUCUUCGACAACACGAUUAAAAUUAAGAAAUAAAUUAUUAUUCAGAGUGUAAAAAUAUAUAUGAAAAUGGAUCUUAAAAGAUAGAAAAAAUUAAAUUUUAAUUGAAAGUACAAAAAUAAUAAAUAUUUCUAAAAAUGAAAAGAGACAAAAAUGUGAAAAACAAAAAAAGGUGAAAAAUAAUAAUAAUGAUCUUAUUUAUUUAUAUUUUUCUAUUUUUUAAUUUUGUUUUUACACUGUAGCUAACGAGAGUGUACUGUACAUAGCGCGUGUACUGUAGCUAACGAUAUACAAUGUACGUAACCAACUCGCCUGACGAUUUCGUUCGCUGUCACUGUACACCGGUUCGGCUAGAAGGACAUUUUCGUCUGAAAUUGACAUAAUUGUCAAAUGGUGAAAGCCUUUCCCCACUUUGUCAAAACCCGAAAGAAACACAUAAAACAUGGCGUCUGACCCGUAAUUAACCCAUGGUAAAUAGUAAACCGACUACUUUUACAAUUAAGUUAAAAAAACUGACUACUUUGCAACUUAUCUCUUUUUUUUUUUUUUCUUCAGUUCAAUUUUGUAUAAUCAUGAAGAAAUGAAAUCUCCCGCUUCAUAGUCUUUAUAACGGUUUUUAUAUACAUAGAGAACACAGCUAAAUAUCUACCAAAACUUUUCAACACUAAAGCUCGUCGUCGUCGCAAUCUCCAAUCCCACCACAGCUAAUUCUAAUCCUUGCUUCAUCUCUUUUUUCCUAAUUUCUUCGAUCUUACGAACAGCUUUUUUCGACAUCCCGAGUUUCAUAAGAAUGGUUCCAAGUGAUUUGAAUGUUGAGUCAUCGGGUUGAAUUCCGGAUGAAACCAUCUCUUUGAAAGUCUCAACAGCUUCUUUGAAUCUCCCGUCUAAAGCGAAUAAACCGAGAACGCUGUUGUAACUCAACGGAUCAGUGAGAAUCUUCAUCUCUCUCAUCUGUUUUGCUAUCUGAGUCGCUUCUUCAAACCUACCGUUCUUCUUGUACAUACAUAACAAUAACAUCAUCGCAAAGGUAAACUCGUUCGCUUCUCUUCUCUGUUUCAUGCUUUCGAAUAUAGCUUCUGCUUUUCUCACCAUGGAUCUUUCACUUUACAGCAACCCAGGAAUCUUUGUUGGAGUAGGAAGAGCCAAUGCUGAACUGGAUAGCAGCCGCGAUAGCAUUUGGACCUGGUGUGUUUUGUGGAUUAGUGAUCGGACGUAUCUUCACUUCAUACAAACACAAGUGGUUUAUUAUAUCUCGUUAAGCCCAUCUAUCUGGCGGGUUCGUCAAGUUUGUACUCCGGUAACCUAGUUCGCUAGGUGUUCCUUCCUUGUAAUUUUCACCGUUGUCAAUGUUAUAAGCUUUGAUGUUUUCACCGUUUUUUGUAAUAUGGUCAAUGUUGGUUGCCUAUGUUAGAUUAAAUUAAGCUUUAACAAAGUGUCUUGAAUCACGUUUAUAUCAAUCUCUAGUUUGAGUCUACAGAAUCUUUAUCUUUGUGGAGAAAUCUUGUCGGCCACAAAGUUAUUUUUCUCAGUAGACUUGCUUAGAAAGUAAGAUAAACUUUGAAGAGUGGCUUUGCACUGUCUUCAUCUCAUGACUUAUUUAAAUGAUAAACCCAAUUCUCAGGGCAUUUACUUGGACACACAAGUUCGUGUUUUAUUGAAAGUCGCACCUCGUAUGUUCGACCUAUAGAGAAAGAGACAGUACCAAUAAAAAUAUUUUGAAUGAAAAUUAUUUCUAAAUAUAACCUUCUUCAUAUAUAUAUUUUGAAUGAAAAUAACUUUCCUCAUUUAUCACCAAAAACUAUUAAAAUUAGCUUUUGUGCUAAGAAAAAAUUUUCACUAAAAGAAAAGGGACGUAAAAACAAAUUAUUCCACAAUUUUCCUACUUUAAUGCAUAGAAAGACUUACCCAGUCAAAGUCAAGCUCCUUACAUAUAAGUGAGUUUUAUGCCUAUCACUUACCAUUCAACAAACAAAAUAUCUUUGUUUCUCAAAAAAAGAAAUUGAGAGACGAUGAUUCGAAGCCAAUCGUAUUGUUUUCUUGGUAUUUUUCUUACCAUCUAUUUCUUUUUUUGCCUUCUUCCCUUACCAAACACCAUUGCUUCUCCCACACGGUUCCUGUGCCGCCCCGACCAAAGAGAUGCUCUUUUGGAGCUAAAAAAGGAGUUCCCGGUCCAUUCCAACGACAGCUAUCCUGUAACAACUGUUUCAUGGAACAAGAGCGUUGACUGCUGUUCUUGGGAUGGUGUCACAUGUGAUGCUAACUUGGGAAAUGUGAUAUCACUACAACUCAUUUCCCUUAGUACUGCAACCAACACCUCUUUGAAAUCCAGCAGUAGAAGUCUCUUAAAACUUCAACACCUUCGUGAGCUAAGGCUUUCAAAAUGCAAUCUCCAAGGGGAGAUUCCUUCUUCCAUUGGAAAUCUUUCUCAUCUCACAUAUCUUGAUCUUUCUUUCAAUCAAUUAGUUGGUGAAGUUCCGGCUUCAAUCGGUAACCUAAACCAACUAGGAUACAUGGAUCUUUCGUGUAAUGAUCUUAGAGGUAAUAUUCCUACUUCAUUUGCCAACUUAUCCAAGCUUUCUCAAUUGGAAAUCUUUGAAAAUCAAUUCACUGGUGGUUUAGUAGUAUUAGCCAAUUUAACCAACUUGUCCGAAAUAGACCUCAACUCAAAUCACGUCAAAUCCUCGUUUCCCUCAUUCUUGCUCAUGAUUUCUUCGUUAGUCGAGAUUCAUUUAGAUGAAAACCAAUUCGAGGGAACUCUUGAUUUUGGGAAUAUCUCUUCAUCAUCUAAGCUUGGAGUGUUAACUGUUGGCGACAACAAUUUUGAUGGGCUAGUUCCAGAAUCUAUAGGGAAAUUACACAAUCUCAAUUCUUUAGAUCUAAGCCAGAACAAUUUCAGAGGGAGAGUCCCUAGAUCUAUAUGGAAACUACGACAUCUCAAUUCUUUAGAUCUUAGCCAUAACAAUUUCAUAGGGAGAGUUCCUAGAUCAAUAUCUAAAUUAGUCAACCUCAAUUCCAUUUAUCUUUCCUAUAACAAGUUUGAAGGUCAAAUACCUCAUCUUCAUCAAUGACAACCUUCAAGCCCUUUUGUUGCAGUUGUCCCAGACUGAAUAAAUUAUUUUUCAGACCUGGGACAUAGUAAACCGAUGUGAUUACUGAGAUAGAGCCAUUGAUCUCCAGUCGCAGAUUUCCUCUUCCUUCUACCAUCAUCCUCCUGUCAUCACCUAACUUCACAUUUUGGCGGAAGGAACUAUCUAGUUCAACAAACUAGUCUUUGUUCCCGCACAUAUGGUUGCUACACCCCGAAUCUAGGAACCAUAUGUGUUCUUCUCCCUUAAUUUCGUCGAUGUGCGCCAUGAGCAGCAUAUCUUCCUCCAUCUCCACGAAAUUGGCUUCCUUUUCCCAUUCUGGACAUUCGGACUUGUAAUGUCCUUUUUUGUGACAUUUGAAACACUCCACAUGUUCCUUGUUGUAGCCCGAGCUUCCACCUCCACGACCUUGGUAUCCUCCUCUUCCUCUUCCUCGAUAUGGAGAUCUACCAUGGCCUCUUCCUCCUUCCGGUUUCCACUGGCUUUCCACCUUCAACGCGUGUUCAUCUCCUGUGUGUCGACUCAGAUUCUGCUCAUGAACCAUCAAUGAGCUUUGUAAUCCAUCAACAUUCAUCUCAUUGAUGUUCUUUGAUUCUUNNNNNNNNNNNNNNNNNNNNNNNNNNNNNNNNNNNNNNNNNNNNNNNNNNNNNNNNNNNNNNNNNNNNNNNNNNNNNNNNNNNNNNNNNNNNNNNNNNNNUUUUUCAGUAAGUGUACGCAAGAUCUUCUCGACCACUUUGGAAUCCGGCAUCUCCUCUCCAAGGUUUCUCAUAUCGUUGGUGACCUCCAUUACUCUUGAGACAUAUUGUUCGAUCACCUCUCCUGCCCUCAUCUCGAGAACUUCGAAGCUUCUUCUCAGCCUCUGCAGCUGCGCACUCUUGACUCUGUCAUCGCCUUGAUAUUUCUUUUUCAUCGAAUCCCACAGCUCCUUCGAUGUUUCCUUCUUCAGAAUUGUUUUGAGAAUUGUCUUGUCGAUUGAUGCGAACAAGUAAUUCUUCACCUUGUGAUCCUUCACGAUCCUCUCUGCACGCUCCGUUCUUUGUGCGCCAUUCAGGAUCACGUUCGGUUCCGGUUGACUGAUCCCUGUCUCGAUAAGAUCCCACCACUCCUUGGAUCUCAGCAAGUUUUCCAUGAGCAUUGCCCAAUGCUCAUAGUCUCCGUCGAACUUGGGGAUAAUCACAGAAUCUUUUUCACUCAUUUCUCUCUUGUACCAGGCUCGUGACAAGCUCUGAUACCACUUGUUACUUUGUAAAGCUAUUCAGUUUUGAAAACAGAGGAACAAAGUUUGACUGAAUGCUUCACGAUAUCAUUAUUCUCAAGAGAUUGACUCUUAAAUAGACCUUACAACGUGCAGCUACAAAAUAGGAACUAAACAACUGAAACAAAUUGACUCCUACAAGUCAGGAUACUUAUUCAAAACGAUUGAAACAUUCAAACUUGACCAAUUGACUCUAAUUGAUUCUUCAAUUUCGUCGAACAGCUUUCUUUGACAUCCCGAGUUUUAUCAGAAUGGUUCCAAGUGAUUUGAACGUUGGGUCAUCGGGUUGAAUUCCGGAUGAAACCAUCUCUUUGAAAGUCUCAACAGCUUCUUUGAAUCUUCCGUCUAAAGCGUAUAAAACGAGAACGUGUUGUAACUCAACGGAUCAGUUCGAAUCUUCAUCUCUCUCAUCUGUUUUGCUAUAUGAGUCGCUUCUUCGAACCUUCCAUUCUUCUUGUACAUACAUAACAUCAUCCCGAAGGUGAACUCGUUUGCUUCUCUUCUCUGUUUCAUGCUUUCGAAUAUAGCUUCCAUUUUUCUCACCAUUGAUGUUUCACUAUACAGGUUGUUGAUGUAUCUACAUCCGGAUACUAUGUCUCGUUACAUGAUUGAAGAAGCUUUCGGUAUAUUGCUUCAGCUUCAUUUAAGUAACCGACUUUAGUGUAGAGCUUGAUCAGAGAAUUGUAUAUAAACGAGUUGUAUUUUGUCAAAUUUAAACAAUCUUUUGCAAAAUUGAGCCAACUUUUUCAUUUAAAUUGAAAUAGUUGUUUUUCUUAUGGAUAUUUAAGGUGUUCCGGGUAAACAUACCUUAUCCGAACCGAACCAAAAAUAAAUUCGAUUUUAUUAAUUCAGCUCUCCAUUCAAAUAGCCAAACUUAAUUCGAACCGAAAUUCCAAAAUACUCGAAUGGAUCCUAGAAUCCCUUAAACAGACUACUCAUAACUGAACAGAACCAAUCCAAACUCGAACGGGUAUCCUAAUGGCCUAACUGUAGGCUCUAGGAUCGAAGAGUGAUAGUUUUAUCUAAUUAAGUAACUUAAGUUAACAUGGUGCAGAAAAUAGGGAUUCUUACAAUUGUUAUGUAACAUCAUAUAUGUCUCUUCAACAUCCUCCCUGACUUUAGACGUUUUGUCGAGUGGAAAUUUAUUCCCAAAAUAAAUGGGGAGAGUGGGUUCGCUGACUCCGUCUCAACCACAUGACUCGAUAACCGAUCAAUAAAUGUCUUUCUAAAUCUUUGGUUGGUGUCCACAAAAACAAAAUUAUUUUCCCAUUUUACUCAUUUUUGCUUCUUUUUAAAUAAAAAAUAAUUCAUAUAUAUGAAGAAGAAUUGCCAAGAAUUUUUCUUUUAUAAAGACAAGUGAGUAAGCAAUACAUAUCGAUCACUUACCAUUCAACAAACAAAACGUAUUUGUUUCCAAAAGAAAAUAAUUGUCAUGAGUCGAAACAAGUCUUAUUGGUUUGGUGUUACCAUCUAUUUCUUAGUUUCUUGUCACCCUUUUAUAAACACCUUUGCUUCUCCCACACAGUCCUUGUGCCGCAACGACCAAAGGGAUGCUCUUUUAGAGCUAAAAGAAGAGUUAUCAAUCCAUUCCAGAAACAGCGCUCCUGUACCAACAAUUUCAUGGAACAAGCGCGUCGACUGCUGUUCUUGGAAGGGUGUGAAGUGUAAUGCUAUCUCCGGAGAGGUGAUAUCACUAAAACUUGGUGACCCCUCUACAACCAACAGCUCUUUGAAAUCUAGCAGUGGUCUUUUUAAACUCCAAAAUCUUCUUCACCUAGAUCUUUCAUCUUUAGGUCUCCAAGGGGAGAUUCCUUCUUCCAUUGGAAAUCUUUCUCAUCUCACAUAUCUUGAUCUUUCUUUCAAUCAAUUAGUUGGUGAAGUUCCGGCUUCAAUCGGUAACCUAAACCAACUAGGAUACAUGGAUCUUUCGUGUAAUGAUCUUAGAGGUAAUAUUCCUACUUCAUUUGCC